UUGUGAUUAAGAAAUAAACGAAUGCCUUUUCUCCCUUUAUGGAAGUAAAUGAAAUUGAUCCACCAUCAAGUUAGGGAGAUCAAAAAUAUGGGGGGGGGAUACAAUGACAAAGGAUAACUGUGCUCCAGUGAAAGUUCAAUAAUCUGAGAAUGGUGUAAAAACAACAAAUGGCAUUUAUAAAGUCCUCUAGGCUGUACAGAAUGCUUUAUAUCCAUUAUCUUCUUCAGUCCUCACAAUGGGGUUCUGCACAUCUUGCCAUCUGGCUGUGUGAAAGCAACAGGAAGAUUUCAACUCCUCUCCGUUUGCAGUUUGCUAAGUUUCCAAGCAGCGGCAAUUUUGGAGGGUGGAGAAAGGUGCCAUCUUUCUGCUUUUAUUCCCUUGGCCAUUAGUGAGGUUUGAGUUUGAAUGGACAAAGUACAUCACUGGCAUCCUCUCAAGAGACAGAUUUGAAGGAAUUCAUGGGUGAAAUUGUAGCACUGUUGGGUAAGAUGUGCUGCUCUGUCACUGAUAAUGAGACUUCUAGCCAUAAGAAAUCCCAAGAGGACUGAGGAAGGGGAGGGUUUGCAGAAGGGGGAGGGGUUAUAAACCUUUGAAAUCUCCUCACAGUGAGCCGUUUUCGUAUUUAACGUGUCUCAAAUUUCUUGGAGUCUAAGGGAGGGAGAAGAGAGGAAGAAAAAUUUGAAACACAAGGUUAUGCAAAGGU